AAAGUAUGAUGAGAGCAUUGAUUCAAUAAAUUAUUAAAUAUUUCUCAUGCCUCAGAAAGAGACUCCUUUGGUUAUUGCUCAAAUUGCAUGAUCUUGUCUCUUAAUGU